rnacentral:rRNA from 1 species
GACGAACGCUGGCGGCGUGCCUAAUACAUGCAAGUCGAGCGGACUAAUGGGAGCUUGCUCCCGUUGGUUAGCGGCGGACGGGUGAGUAACACGUGGGCAACCUACCUGUAAGACUGGGAUAACUUCGGGAAACCGGAGCUAAUACCGGAUGACAUAAAGGAACUCCUGUUCCUUUAUUGAAAGAUGGCUUCGGCUAUCACUUACAGAUGGGCCCGCGGCGCAUUAGCUAGUUGGUGAGGUAACGGCUCACCAAGGCGACGAGGCGUAGCCAACCUGAGAGGGUGAUCGGCCACACUGGGACUGAGACAAGGCCCCGACUCCUACGGGAGGGAGAAGUAGGGAAUCUUCCGCAAUGGACGAAAGUCUGACGGAGCAACGCCGCGUGAGCGAUGAAGGCCUUCGGGUCGUAAAGCUCUGUUGUUAGGGAAGAAUAAGUGCUAGUUGAAUAAGCUGGCACCUUGACGGUACCUAACCAGAAAGCCACGGCUAACUACGUGCCAGCAGCCGCUGUAACAC